GACGAACGCUGGCGGCGUGCUUAACACAUGCAAGUCGAACGGAAAGGCCCUGCUUUUGUGGGGUGCUCGAGUGGCGAACGGGUGAGUAACACGUGAGUAACCUGCCCUUGACUUUGGGAUAACUUCAGGAAACUGGGGCUAAUACCGGAUAGGAGCUCCUGCUGCAUGGUGGGGGUUGGAAAGUUUCGGCGGUUGGGGAUGGACUCGCGGCUUAUCAGCUUGUUGGUGGGGUAGUGGCUUACCAAGGCUUUGACGGGUAGCCGGCCUGAGAGGGUGACCGGCCACAUGGGGACUGAGAUACGGCCCAGACUCCUACGGGAGGCAGCAGUGGGGAAUAUUGCACAAGGGGCGGAAGCCGGAUGCAGCAACGCCGCGUGCGGGAUGACGGCCUUCGGGUGGUAAACCGCUUUCGCCUGUGACGAAGCGUGAGGGACGUAAUGGGUAAAGAAGCACCGGCUAACUACGUG
rnacentral:rRNA from 1 species